UGGCCGACUCAUCCAUAUGCAUCUAUGGGUAGGUUCUUUAAUCAAUAAUUUUAUCAAAUAAUUUUUAGUAAUUGAUUUAAUCUCAAAUAAUUUUUCAAUUGACUUUGAUCUUCUCUACAAGCCCUGGUUAGGUCCAACCAUUAACAUGAUCAUACAUAGGAAUCUAACUACCAAAUGAUCAGGUCUGACUUUGACCGACUAACCUGAUCACUUAC
rnacentral:lncRNA from 1 species